CAAUAAUUUUGCAAUAAAAAAGUUUUUUUUUAUGUCUUUUCUUUUAUAUAGCAUUUUAUUUAAUGUAAUAGUUUAAUGCAAUGUUAUAGGUAAUAAACAAAUCAGUAAGUUAAACUAGAUCUGCUACAUUACGUUAUGUUAAGAGUAGUUAAACAAGAUGAAAGUAAAAUUCACACAAUAAGUAAUGCUGAAAACAGUAAAAAUUAUAUAAAUGCGACUUUGAAAAUGCAAUAAACUUUAGUGAGGAUUGAUGUUGGACAUUAGCCUUGGAGAAUAAAACUGAUAUUGAAAAUUUAUAUCAGAUAUAUUAAAGUCUUUCAACACAUUUCACAACUUCACAACUACUACUUCUAAAAUUAAAAGCUUAUAGAAUAAAUGACUAACUCUACAAUUGGAUUUUAAUGUUACUUAAGAGAUCUGCAUUAGAGUAUCAUUGUUGGUGGUGCAUACUCAGAAUGGAUAAUAGUAAAUAGUGGGGUCCCCCAUUAUUUACUUUUGUGAUAUAUAAUAAAGAUUUUUCUGAUUUGGUUUUAGAUGUUGUAUCUGCAUUUACAGAUGAUACUAAGUUAUACAGUUUGCUUUUUGAUAGCUCACCAUGCAAUAAACUGCAAUAAAGUAUGGACAUUAUAGCAAACUGGACAAAACUAUGAAAACUAAGUUUUAUUAAAAAAAUUUAAAGUUAUACCCUUAGGACCAACAAAUGCAUAAUUCAUUUAUAUACUCGUUGAUAAAAAUCUCUAUACUUCAAUGAAUAUUAAAAACUUUCUCAUCAAUAAAAAGAUCUUCAUUGACAGUAGUUUGACUUUUAUUUUGUAAGUACUAAGAAUAACACCGCCUAUAAAGUUGUAGGAAUGAUCAAAAGAUCAUUUGUCAAUCUCAAUAUCUUGACAUUUCGUACUUUGUUUAUUUUCCUUGUUCGUCCUCACCUUGAUUCUUGUAGCUCUGUCUACUAUCCUAGACUUUAAAAAGAUCAACAAUUAAUUUAAAAUGUUCUAUGCUAGUCUAGUAAAUUUGUUUUUGGCCAGAAUAGACUCACUUACAACCAAAGACUAUUCAGACUAAAUUUAACUAGCAUGAGCUAUCGUUUCUUAUGUAAUGACAUGGCAGAAACUUACAAAUGCAUUCAGAAUCUUUAUAAUUGUAGUUGCUAUCCUUUUGUUUCCUCUUAAAAUACCAUUCAGUAUUUUAUCUAUCAACACCUGUGUCAGAAUGAUGUCAUCUGCACAGCCAUUAUAUUUAUUAUUGUAAUUACAGACCGUUAAGUAGUUAAUCUGAGUUGUAAUAGCAUUUGUGUUAAUAUGGCCACUUCUUAAUAUUAAUAUAUGAUUAUAUAUUUAGUUAGUAUUUAUUCCUCUAUUAUGACCAACUCCAACUUAACAACAUGCGAUCAUGCUUAUAAAUUGAAAAAAAUGUUUUGUAAGACAGAUAUCCGUAAAAAACUUUUCUAAUAUGGAAUUCACAAAUUUGUAGAAUAGUCUACCAUCUGAAAUAGUGUUCAACAUCUGUCACGACAUUAAAAAAACAUCUAGAUGCAUCUUGGGUUCAUCAAAUGUACAAUUGCAAAAUGGUAAAUAUUUACUUAGAGCCUCAAGUUGUUUAUUAUGUCAUAUAAGAAAAUAUUAUCAUAGAAACCUUGCCAAACCGCGCAAACUUUAAAAUUCACUUUUUUUACUAACCAAUAAUUAAACUUUACUUGCAAUAAAAAGCGAUUACAUUAAACAUUAAGAAAUGAAUCUCAAUAAUUUUUAGACUAAUAUUUUCAGUUAAAAAAAAAAAAAUCUCAAAAAAGAAAGUUAAUCUGAAUUUUUUUUAUAUCAUAAAUUUAUUUGUGAUUAUUUUUUAGCUGAUGUACCGUUAAACUGAAGGUGGUAAUAAAGUUUACAAAAUUUGCUCUGGCUGAAUUUUUCAAUGAAAAAACAAUGUGUGCCAUGAAUGUAAUCUGUUUAACAUGGUGUAUCAAUGAAAGUUUGGUGUAUUGGCCAAAUCACUUGCAAGCAUCUUGCCUUUAAAUUGCCAUUUUAAAAGUAACUCAAAACAGCUGAAAAUAAGAAUUUUUGGAUGAACUUUCUUACUUCGGUUGGAGGAGAUGAGAAACUUACAUCGGCAAUCUUAAUACAGCUAAUGGCCAAAGAAGUAUGAUUUUCAUACGCAGUGUAUGGAAUGAAACAAAAACGUCCUGCAAGGUCGUUAUAGAGUUGCGUUUAGUCGUUUAUUGUUGUAUUCGUUCAUUUCGAAAUCGCUACUGACAAAAGUAUUAAA
rnacentral:lncRNA from 1 species